AGAGAAUCGCUUGAACCUGGGUGGUGGAGGUUGCGGUGAGCUGAGAUUGUGCCACUGUACUCCUGCCUGGGUGACAGAA
rnacentral:snRNA from 1 species